rnacentral:tRNA from 13 species
GCUGAUAUAGCUCAGUCGGUAGAGCGCAUCCUUGGUAAGGAUGAGGUCGGCAGUUCGAAUCUGCCUAUCAGCACCA